CCUACGGGAGGCAGCAGUGAGGAAUAUUGGUCAAUGGACGAGAGUCUGAACCAGCCAAGUAGCGUGAAGGAUGACUGCCCUAAGGGUUGUAAACUUCUUUUAUAUGGGAAUAAAAUGUUCCACGUGUGGGAUUUUGUAUGUACCAUAUGAAUAAGGAUCGGCUAACUCCGUGCCAGCAGCCGCGGUAAUACGGAGGAUCCGAGCGUUAUCCGGAUUUAUUGGGUUUAAAGGGAGCGUAGGUGGAUUGUUAAGUCAGUUGUGAAAGUUUGCGGCUCAACCGUAAAAUUGCAGUUGAAACUGGCAGUCUUGAGUACAGUAGAGGUGGGCGGAAUGCGUGGUGUAGCGGUGAAAUGCUUAGAUAUCACGAAGAACUCCGAUUGCGAAGGCAGUUCACUGGACUGCAACUGACACUGAGGCUCGAAAGUGUGGGUAUCAAACAGGAUUAGAUACCCGGGUAGUC
rnacentral:rRNA from 1 species